UACGAAGGGGGCUAGCGUUGCUGGAAUCACUGGGCGUAAAGGGCUCGUAGGCGGCCAACUAAGUCGGAUGUGAAAUCCCCAAGCUUAACUUGGGAACUGCAUCCGAUACUGGAUGGCUUGAAUCCGGGAGAGGGAUGCAGAAUUCCAGGUGUAGCGGUGAAAUGCGUAGAUAUCUGGAGGAAUACCGGUGGCGAAGGCGGCAUCCUGGACCGGCAUUGACGCUGAGGAGCGAAAGCUAGGGGAGCAAACGGG
rnacentral:rRNA from 1 species